UACGAAGGGGGCUAGCGUUGCUCGGAAUUACUGGGCGUAAAGGGAGCGUAGGCGGGUUAUCAAGUUGGAGGGGAAAGCCCAGGGCUCAACCUUGGAAUUGCCUUCAAAACUGAUAGCCUAGAGUAUGAUAGAGGUAAGUGGAACUCCGAGUGUAGAGGUGAAAUUCGUAGAUAUUCGGAAGAACACCAGUGGCGAAGGCGACUUACUGGAUCAUGACUGACGCUGAGGCUCGAAAGCGUGGGGAGCAAACAGG
rnacentral:rRNA from 1 species